UUAGUGUAAGAGACAAUUUCACCCAGUUGCCCACACAGGCCCUGAACUUGUGAUCCUCCAGCCUUAGAUCUCCAAGAAAGAACUUAAUAAAUAACAGCUCCUGUCCUCUUUUCCCUAAUUUGUAAGUCAAGUAAAGUUCAGGGCAGUCAUAAGACAGACCAAGCUGAAGGUCGGUCGAGCAAAGAGCACGAGCUCUGUGUUCAGAGAAGAAGGAGGUUGUGGCCAGUGCUUCCCGGGGGACGUGAGUUUGAAGCAGAGCCUGGAGAACCAACAAGAAGGAGAGGAGAGAGAACUCCACGCAGCAAUUGUGGGCAAAUAAGGCAUCAGUGAAAGUGAGAAGAGGAUGAAGAAAAAAGAAAAAAACCUCAAGGGGCAUUUCCUACAAGGGACUAGCUCUAUGUAUUUCUCCUGUGUGUAGCUGGAGUGCUUUUCCCAACCAACACCUCGCCGAAGACAGUGACCGUAUUUUACCACCAUUAUAUCCUAGUGCUUGGCUGAGAGCUGGCCAUCGGGUUCCUCCUGGCACAUAGGCCGACUGCAAGGUAUAAUGGACUGGAAGCUGGCAAGCUUAGUUCUGAGACAGGCUCAGGGAAGCGAUCACAGCCUUGCACCCACCAGGACCUGCAUCUGACACUCGACCUUCACUUCCGAUGGCUUUUACUCAGCCUGGGCACAUUCCCUGCUGUUCCACUCUGACCCUCCCAUCCCAUCUUUGCCAUGAGAUUGGAUUCAUCCAUCGGCCACCAGGAAAGGCCACCUUUGGGAGCCAUUGCUGUGUGCAGCUCCAAGCUAAUGUCGCUGGUCGGUUCUCUGGCAGCAUCUGGGCCUUGUGGAAAAAAUAGGCAGAGGCUGUGGUGGGAGCAGAGGCAGGAAAAGCCAAGAAGAGCCACCCCACCCUUUUCUGCCUGGGACCCCCCAGGCCAGCUACUCGUUCAAACAUCGUGGGCCAUUUCUGGAGCGUCAAAGCUGAGUGUGUCACUACUCUUCUUCCGUGGAGCCUAGCAGCCCUGUUUCCACUGUAUCCAUUUUCAACUGCUGCUGUAACAAAAUACGACACAUCAGGGGCUGGGGAUUUAGCUCAGCGGCAUAAGCACCUGCCUUGCAAGCAGGCGGUCGUGAGUUCGAUCCCCGGUACCGAUAAAAAGGAAAAAGACAAAAAAAAAAAAAAAAAUACUACACAUCAAAUGGUUUAAAACAAAACUUGUUUACUAUCUUACACUUAUGCAGGCUAAAAGCCCAAGCUGAUCUCACUGAGCUAAAAUCUAAGUGUCAGCAAGGCUGGGGUCUUUUCUGGAGGGCCUGGGUAGAAUUUAUUUCCUAGCCAGGUAUGGAGGUGCCUACUUGUAAUUCCAGUACUCUGGGAGGUUGAGUUGGGAGGAUCACAAGUUUGUGGGCUGCAGAUACAGCUCAGUAGCACAAGUACCUGCCUGGCAAGCAUAAGGUCUUGAGUUUGAUUCCUAGCUACCAAACAAACAAACAAACAAACAAACCACAAAACCAGAUUCCAGGCCAUCUUGGGCAAUUUAGACUUACUGAGAACUUGUUUUGAAAUAAAAAAUGAUUUUAGAGAGGGUUGGUGACAUAGCUCAGUAUAAAGGUCCUAGAAUCAAUCCCAAGCACUGCAGGGGGGGGGGGAAGAAAUUAGAAUCUAUUUCCUGCCUUUUUUAGGUUCUAGAACCUGCCAGCAACUCCUUGGCUCAUGCCCCUUGCUCUGUCCUAAAGGCAGCCACACUGCAUCUCUCUGGCCCUGCUCCCAAGAACAUCUUUCUUUUACUCCACUUUAAGAACCCUUAUGGUUACAUCGGACUCAUCCAGAUAAUCCCAAGUACACUCAGUAUUCUAGGGUCAGGUGAUUGGCAGCCUUAUCCCAUCUGCAGCCUCACUUCCCCUUGGCUGAGUGACAUCACAUUGGUGCAGGUUGCCAGGGUAGGUAGAGCCACCCCAUCUGCCUGCUACAUUAACCAGCGGGGAGAGGUGUGGACCUCACCAACCUACCAACCCCCUCACCCCGCGCAUUGUGAAGGGGCGACUGCUGCUCAGCCCCAACUGAAGUCAUCAUUAUGACCCAGCCUGCCAAUCUGUCAGGUGAAUCUGGAAAAAUCACAUUUUCAGGGCUCAUUUUGAAAUCACUGUGCAGACAAAGGGGAAGAAAAAGAAAGCAGAGGAGGAAGAAAGGAAGGAAGGAAACGGAGAAAGGGAGAAGGUACAGAGGGAAGGAGAGAGGGAAGAAGGAAACUCAGGGGCUGGAUUUGGCAUGAAGCCACUCAGGUGUGACCCUGGGUCCGGCUGGCUCCACCUUGGCCUAGGUGAGAGGAUGAGAAGCCACCUGGUGCUCACAGGUUCUGCAAGUUCUGGGACCUGCCAGUGGGAGGAAUGUGGCCAGGAGCCAGUGAGUCCCCAGGGGAUGCCUCAGGGGAAAUUUCUGCGGGAGAAGGGACCUGCCAUGUCCCUAAGGGACCAAGCAUCACCUGCAGGAGCAGCGGAGCAUGAAAGAGUACAGGAAAUCAGACCGAGGCGACCUAAGAAAUCAACCAGAGUAAGGUGGGCUUCAUGCCUCGUGAGCCCAGAACACACCCAGCACAGCCUUCUAACUUCAAGAGGCCGGGCCUUCCCUCUCCCGCCCCAGCAACCCUGGCGCUGGCAGUGGGCCGGCCUUGGUGGAAGUGAGAUUUUUCACCUUGUGCCUCUUUAUGUGACUUGAGAUGAAUGAGCUAAUAAAACACUUGAAAUAAUGCAA